CCGGGCCCUCUCGCCAGACAUCCCACCAAGACAGCCGCGUGGGACAAGACUUCUUCCCUCUCCCCCCCCCCUCUCGCCCUCUCCUGUUCCCCUCUCCCGUCGCCGGCGACCUCGACGGCGGCGUCUCCGGCGACCCAGGCGCCGGCUACGCCUCCCCAUUCAUCCGAUCGAUAGAUAUCUCGGGCCUGGGACCUCUUGCCCCCUCCCCAGAACCACCGCGCCUCUUCGCUCUGUUCACACCCUCGUCGUCUAGUGUUCCAAGGGGCCAAUCCCCAGCGGGCACGAAGCGCCUGGGCCGGGUGCUCCCGCCCCAGAUCCAGCGAUCCUCCUGCCAUCGCGGCCGCCAUGGACGACUUCCAGGGCAUCCUGGCCCGCGACUUCGGCCUCCGCCCUAAGGGGAAGGCUGCGCCCAUGUCGGCCGCCCGCGCCGCGGCGCCCUCUGGAUCCGCCUGGGACAGCACCAGAUCCGCCGCCGCUGCCGCGCCAUCCGCCCCCUCCUACGACGAUCUCUUCGGGGCCCCGUCCUCCGCGCCGCCGCCCAAGCCCACGCAGCCGACCUCCAUCGACUCCAUGUUCGACUCCUUCGCGGAGCCCUCUGCCUCAGCCGCGCCGCCCAAGCCCAAGCACUCGUCCAUGCCCGUGUUCGACAAGCCAGUCUACGACGACGAUAUCUUUGACGGGGUCCCCGGUGUGAAGAGCUCCUCGGUGCGCUACGACGACGUCUUUGCGGGCAACCACGCGCCGGCCCCUGCAGACGACGACCUGCUCGCUGGUUUCGGAACCAAGUCAGUGGCUAGGGAGGUGCCGGAAGAUAAGUGGAAGCCCGGGCCAGCAGCCGCCUCAGCGGGGUUUGAUGAUUUGUUUGCGGGGAUUGGCAGGAGCAGCCCGGUGAAGCAAAGGCAAACUGCUGGUGCUAAAGAAAAGAGGGUGCCUACAUCUCAGCCAGCUAGCAUGGCAAGCGACCCUUUUGUUUCUUUUGAAACAACUUCUACUUCAGCCCGUCAAUCCUCUGGGAUAUUCUCGGAUCCCUUGGAUGAAUUGGGUAGGCAUUCAAAAUCUCAAGUAAAAACUGCUGCUGACAGUGGUCUAUUUGAGGAUUCUAGCGCAUUCAAUCAGGUCCCAAAAUCAGAACCUUUGUUUACCACAAAUUUGAGUGAUGACUCUAAAGGUAGCAACGGAUCAACCAAGGCCCGAGACUCGAGCCCUGUGCAAAAUUUUCCGAAAAGAAACUCAGCCCAACAACCUUCUGUGGAGGACUUCGAAAAUAUUUUUACACAGUCACAGUCUGCCCGAUAUUCUGAUGUUCAUGUUGAUAGUGGUGCUCCAGGUUCCGAGAAAUACAGUGGGAAUGGUAUGGAUGACCGGUCACCAAGAUCAGAUGAGUCUGAGGAUGAGAUAUGGCUUACAGUUUCUGAGAUUCCCCUCUUCACACAGCCAACGAGUGCCCCACCACCUUCAAGACCACCACCAUCUCUUGCAAUUAAGCAAAAACCGCAUGGAUCAAGAGCAAAACGAAGGGAUGAUGAAUAUCUGCGGCACUCCACCCAGAACUACAACCAUAACAAAAAUUCUUCGAUGGAUGAAUUAGAAGAAUUUGCCAUGGGCAAACCUCAGAAAUCAGCUUAUGACAAUGCAAAUCCUUUUUAUGAGGAUGAAUCUGAGCGGAAUUCAUCGGCGGCAGCAUCUGCAGCUGCUAUGAAGGAAGCCAUGGAGAAAGCUGAGGCUAAGUUCAAGCAUGCUAAGGAAGUACGAGAGAGAGAACGUGAUGCAAAGCUUAGAAAUAGGGAACAGCAGGAACAGGAUGAUGAAGCAAGGUCGUAUGCACAGGAUCGGGAAGAGAGAGAGAGGCAGGAGAAACUAGACAGGGAGAAAGAGAUGAGACAAAGGGAGGAAAAGGAGAGAGAACAAAGAAGACUUGAAGAAGCGAGGGAGCUUGAGCAACAGAGAGAAAGAGGGAGGGGUAGACAAGCUGUGGAGAGGGCUACAAAGGAGGCACGGGAAAGAGCAGCUAUCGAAGCACGUGCAAAAGCAGAGAGGGAAGCACACCUACGUAAUGAGAGGGCUGCUGUGCAAAGAGCUCAGCAGGAAGCUCGUGAGAGAGCUGCAGUGGAUGCUAGAGACCGAGCUGAUAGGGCUGCUGCUGAAGCUAAGGAGAAGGCUGCUGCUCAAACCAGGGAGAGGGCUACAGCAGAAAGAGCUGCUGUUGAGAGAGUUCAACAAGAUGCAAAGAGAAGAGCUGACCGAGCAGCAGUGGAAAAGGCCGCAGCUGAGGUUCGGGAAAGGCAAGCUGCUGAGGCUCGAGAGAGGCACGCUGCUUCUGCAGCGGCAGCAGCGGCAAGAGAAAAACAGAGUAAACCAGAUGACCUUGAGUCCUUUUUUGGUAUGGGUGCCCGAGCAAACAGUGCACCUAAGCAAAGGGCUCCAACAGUGGAUCCUACGUUUAAUGCUCAAAGUCAAAGUAGAGCGGCAGCAACCUCUGCUUCAGCAUCAUCUAUGCGGAAGGCAUCAUCUACAACAAAUUUUACGGAUGACCUAUCCGUGAUAUUUGGAGGAGCUCCCACGCCAUCUGAUGAGUUUCAAGCGGUUGAAGGAGAGAGUGAAGAGAGAAGACGUGCUAGGUUGGAGCGGCAUCAACGGACCCGUGAACGAGCGGCAAAAGCUCUGGCUGAGAAGAAUGAACGGGACAUGAAUGUUCAAAGAGAGCAGGCAGAAAGAGAUAGAAUUUCGGAAAGUUUAGACUUCGAGAUUAAGCGAUGGGCUGCUGGAAAAGAAGGCAAUUUGCGGGCACUGCUAUCAACUAUGCAAUAUGUACUUUGGCUAGAAUGUGGAUGGCAGCCUGUAUCCCUAACAGAUCUGAUCACUGCUGCUGCGGUUAAAAAGGUGUACAGAAAGGCAACUUUGUGCAUCCAUCCUGAUAAGGUGCAACAAAAGGGUGCAAAUCUACAGCAGAAAUAUAUCGCCGAGAAGGUUUUUGAUCUUCUUAAGGAGGCCUGGAACAAAUUUAACUCCGAAGAGCUCUUCUAGACAUUACUAUGAGGACCAUCUUCACCUGCGUGAGGUACUCGAGGAGAAGUCCACCCACCGCGCAUCAUACCUGCUUUGGCUGCUUGAGGUGCUCAAGGAGGGACAUCCAAGCUGGAGCGGCCGGUCAUGCCGUCAGGGGAAACAACGAAGUGAUCAACUGCUACAUGCCAGCGGACCUUCAACCAGUAGGUGUAUAUUAGCGUCCUUUUUGCUCGGUUGAUGGUGGGUUCUGUGUAGCAGCGGAGCGGGAUCGGUGUUGUGAUUUUUGGGGUCCAAUGUGCUUCAUUUUACUUUGGGAAGGCCAAUGUUACAUGGAUUCAUGGCUUGUCACCUGUUUGAUGCCAUGGCCACUGUCAUACGUUAUGUUGUGUUGUUUAUUGGGAACUGCUGGUGCAACCAUUGGAGUUGGAGCCGUGCCUAGUGAUUUUUUUUUCCUGUACGAUUCUGUAUAAAGUUGAUCUAGAAUUUUGGGUAGCUGGUUUGCCCUGUUUACCAAGCAAGCAUUUGGUUUCCUUGUUCCUCGGAAUUGGUUCAAAUUGCCCUGUACGUGGUUGAAUUAUUAUGCCAAGAUCCGCCAGCUGUCAUCAGAAAUAACCAAAUGCAACAUGGUACAUAUAAACACUUAAAUAUGUCAGCA
rnacentral:rRNA from 1 species